GAUGAAGAACGCAGUGAAAUGCGAUACGUAAUGUGAAUUGCAAAUUCAGUGAAUCAUCGAGUCUUUGAACGCACAUUGCGCCCCCUGGUAUUCCGGGGGGCAUGCCUGUCCGAGCGUCAUUGCUGCCCUCAAGCCCGGCUUGUGUGUUGGGCCCCGUCCUCCGAUUCCGGGGGACGGGCCCGAAAGGCAGCGGCGGCACCGCGUCCGGUCCUCGAGCGUAUGGGGCUUUGUCACCCGCUCUGUAGGCCCGGCCGGCGCUUGCCGAUCAACCCAAAUUUUUAUCCAGGUUGACCUCGGAUCAGGUAGGGAUACCCGCUGAACUUAAGCAUAUCAAUAAGCGGAGGA
rnacentral:misc_RNA from 1 species